UACGGGGGGGGCAAGCGUUGUUCGGAAUUACUGGGCGUAAAGGGUGCGUAGGCGGUUCGUUAAGUCUGUCGUGAAAUCCCCGGGCUCAACCUGGGAAUGGCGAUGGAUACUGGCGAGCUAGAGUGUGUCAGAGGAUGGUGGAAUUCCCGGUGUAGCGGUGAAAUGCGUAGAGAUCGGGAGGAACAUCAGUGGCGAAGGCGGCCAUCUGGGACAACACUGACGCUGAAGCACGAAAGCGUGGGGAGCAAACAGG
rnacentral:rRNA from 1 species